GGAAGUGCGUCCUGGUGAGCGCCGCCGAUUCGGCUACGACUGCCACUUGCCGGGAGGUCAGGGGUUCGAGUCCCCUUAUCUCCA
rnacentral:tRNA from 1 species